UCUAGAGCUAAUACAUGCUAAAAAUCCCGACUUCGGAAGGGAWGUAUUUAUUAGAUUAAAAACCAAUGCCCUCUGGGCUCACUGGUGAUUCAUAAUAACUUCUCGAAUCGCAUGGCCUUGCGCCGGCGAUGGUUCAUUCAAAUUUCUGCCCUAUCAACUUUCGACGGCUGGGUCUUGGCCAGCCAUGGUGACAACGGGUAACGGAGGGUUAGGGCUCGACCCCGGAGAAGGAGCCUGAGAAACGGCUACUACAUCCAAGGAAGGCAGCAGGCGCGCAAAUUACCCAAUCCCGACUCGGGGAGGUAGUGACAAUACAUACUGAUACAGGGCUCUUUUGGGUCUUGUAAUUGGAAUGAGUACAAUUUAAAUCUCUUAACGAGGAACAAUUGGAGGGCAAGUCUGGUGCCAGCAGCCGCGGUAAUUCCAGCUCCAAUAGCGUAUAUUAAAGUUGUUGCGGUUAAAAAGCUCGUAGUUGAACCUUGGGCCUGGCUGGCCGGUCCGCCUCACCGCGUGCACUGGUUCGGUCGGGCCUUUCCCUCUGGGGAACCGCAUGCCCUUCACUGGGCGUGUCGGGGAACCAGGACUUUUACUUUGAAAAAAUUAGAGUGUUCAAAGCAGGCCUAUGCUCGAAUACAUUAGCAUGGAAUAAUAGAAUAGGACGUGCGGUUCUAUUUUGUUGGUUUCUAGGACCGCCGUAAUGAUUAAUAGGGACAGUCGGGGGCAUCAGUAUUCAAUUGUCAGAGGUGAAAUUCUUGGAUUUAUUGAAGACUAACUACUGCGAAAGCAUUUGCCAAGGAUGUUUUCAUUAAUCAGGAACGAAAGUU
rnacentral:rRNA from 1 species